rnacentral:tRNA from 1 species
GGCCCAAUGGUCUAGUAGUAUGAUUCGCGCUUCGGGUUCUUCCGAUCCUGCGCGAGGUCCCGGGUUCAAUUCCCGGUUGGGCCC